CCUACGGGGGGCUGCAGUGGGGAAUAUUGGUCAAUGGGCGCGAGCCUGAACCAGCGAAGCCGCGUGAAGGAUGACUGCCCUACGGGUUGUAAACUUCUUUUAUAAAGGAAUAAAGUGAGGCACGUGUGCCUUUUUGUAUGUACUUUAUGAAUAAGGAUCGGCUAACUCCGUGCCAGCAGCCGCGGUAGUACGGAGGAUCCGAGCGUUAUCCGGAUUUAUUGGGUUUAAAGGGAGCGUAGAUGGGUUGUUAAGUCAGUUGUGAAAGUUUGGGGCUCAACCGUAGAAUUGCAAUUGAUACUGGCAGUCUUGAGUGCAGGUGAGGUAGGCGGAAUUCGUGGUGUAGCGGUGAAAUGCUUAGAUAUUACGAAGAACUCCGAUUGCGAAGGCAGCUUACUAGACUGCCACUGACAUUGAGGCUCGAAAGUGUGGGGAUCAAACAGGAUUAGAUACCCUAGUAGUC
rnacentral:rRNA from 1 species